AAAGCGAUUCAGCGGGUUACGAUUGACGGAGCGAAGCGACGUCAAAGCGUAUACAAAGUCGAGUCGGUUUAAGGAUACGUUCGUUGGGUAGGGGAGCGUUCUGUAAGCCUGUGAAGGUGUGUCGUGAGGCAUGCUGGAGGUAUCAGAAGUGCGAAUGCUGACAUAAGUAACGAUAAAGCGGGUGAAAAGCCCGCUCGCCGGAAGACCAAGGGUUCCUGUCCAACGUUAAUCGGGGCAGGGUGAGUCGACCCCUAAGGCGAGGCCGAAAGGCGUAGUCGAUGGGAAACGGGUUAAUAUUCCCGUACUUGGUGUUACUGCGAAGGGGGGACGGAGAAGGCUAUGUUGGCCGGGCGACGGUUGUCCCGGUUUAAGCGUGUAGGUGUGUGUUCCAGGUAAAUCCGGUUCACUUUAACACUGAGGCGUGAUGACGAGGCACUACGGUGCUGAAGCAACAAAUGCCCUGCUUCCAGGAAAAGCCUCUAAGCAUCAGGUAACAUCAAAUCGUACCCCAAACCGACACAGGUGGUCAGGUAGAGAAUACCAAGGCGCUUGAGAGAACUCGGGUGAAGGAACUAGGCAAAAUGGUGCCGUAACU
rnacentral:rRNA from 1 species